CAGUCGAAAGAAUGAGGUGGCCUCAUGUAGGUGGAUCUCUAACAUAUAUUAGGUUGAAAAGCAGAGCAAGUGAAUGACAAGGUGCAGGAUAAUACGCAUAACAUGCUCACAUUUGAGUAAGAAAAUCCUAUUAAUGCGUGUGCUUGUGUAUGCGUGGAAGCGCUUCUGGAAGGACAUCGAAGAUGCUGGGGAGAGUGAUUGCCUCUGAGAAGAUAACUGGGAGGCUGGGGUGCCAGGAGGGAGGAAGAUGUGCUUCUCACAGUAUGUCCUUGGAUUGCUUACAUUACCAUGUUCAGUGCACAAUGUAUCAGAUCCUUCUUUCAUGCCCCCUCCCCUGUCCCCCGACAGCUGCAAGACAGGGAGGGAGUGAUGGCCUGAGCUAGUGAGACCUGAAACACAGGGCCUGACUGAUGGCCCCAAGGUGAGGGUGUGGGUGAGGACACACCCAGCGUGCCAGUGUCUGUUUUGUGCUGAUGAACAGAUUUGUCAUUGGCACUUUUGCAAAACUGCAAUGAAAUUCUGGCUCAGGGCACAAUCACCCAGCUGGGGCCCCGAGGCUUUUGGAAGUCACCCGUGGACAGCUUGUCAGCAAAUCUUUAUGGAGCAACAACUCUGUGCUAGGUGCUGAGUACACAGUGAUGAGCAAAACAUGCAAAGACCGUGCCCUCUUCAACUUGGAUGGCCAGUGGGGAUUAGGAAAACAAAUAAGUCAACAAACCCACAAUACCAUCAGUGUUGUGUUCAAGUAGGCUAUGCAGAGGGACAGGAGGGCCUGAGGGCUGCUUCAUACAGGGUGAGGAUGGAGGGGUUCUGAGGAGGGAUGCCCAGGCUGAGACCCAAAAGGUGAAAAUGAGCUGAUAGGGAGAGGUGGGUGGCAGCCAGGAGUGAGUAGAAUUACAGGUGGAGGGACCAUGUUGGGAGGCUCCACGGAGGACAGUCUGGAAGGACUGAAGGACAGCCAAUGUGGCCAAAGAGUAGUGAGUGUGAGAGAGGGGGAGCCAGGUGAGGUUGGUGGGGAGGCGGUAGGGACGCCACGCUCCUGCUGCCCUGACUGUGGGGCACAGGGUGGCAGUCAGGCCUGUGGGUCACCCACCUUCUCAGGGGCUGGCAUUUGCCUUUUCUUGCCUUGCCCUUUCAGUUGGAUGCAACCACUCCAUGACUCCAGUGGAGGAUGAGACCCUGGGAUCAGUUCCUGCCCUGGCCACAGGCUUUGCUCACCCUAUGUUCUAAUGAUCAGUAUUUCUGCAGUAACAUCUUGCAGAAAUAGUUUUAGUUCACCCAUGCUGAGGUGGAGGCAGGGAAAACCAGGACUGAGUUGAAAAUGCUCCAGGUUUCAUGUGCCUUUUCCGUGUUCUAGGUGAUCAAGAUUUCUGCAAUAGUAUCCUGCAGAAUUAGGUGGUGUGGACAAGGGGGCUUCAGGGUGCAUCAGGCAACAUUAUGUUUGGCUGCAUGGGACAGAAAAUGCCAGAUCAUGUAGCUUUAAGAAGAUAGAGUUUUAUUUUUUGUAGAUAAACAAAGUUUGGAGGUAAAUCUAGACCCUUGAAUUAGUCCUAGAUCAUCCAUAAGAAGCUACCACAUGGCCCAAGAUGGCUGCUCAAAUGCCAGCAGUUGCAUCUACAUUUCAGACAGGAGGAGGAAUGUGUGGGGAAGAGAAGGGCACACUUCUGUUUAAGGUCCCUUCAUGGAAAUCGUAUAUGAUUUACUUCUGCCUGUAUUUCAUUGUCCAGAAUUUAUCCCAGGGCUGCCCCUAGCUGCAGGAAGAGCUGGGAAAGGUAGUUUUUAUUCUGGGUGGCGAUGUGCCAAGCUAAAGACAUCAGGGGUUCCAUGUUAAAGGAGGAAGAGGGAAAUGAAGAAUGCCAGACACAGCAUUUUCUGCCACAUAUGAUCAAAUAAAUUUGAGAAAUACUUGGUUAAACAAAAUGAAAUAGGCUUCUUCACUGCAGAAUGUCUCAACCUUUAGUGCGCUCAUGGACAUUGCUAAUCUGUAAAAGAGGCUGUAGUAGUAUGUAGCCUUUCCAAAAUGUAUUAAAUGAUAGAAUUGGUGUGUGUGUGUGAAGCACCUUACGGAAUUGGUGUUCUGCAGAGGCUAUUCAGGUAAACGUAGUCCUUGAUUAUAGAGUUCAAAAAUAACCAAGCUAGGCAACAUGCUUUCAUUUUAAAGACUAAAUGCCAUUCCUUCAAUCAGCCUAGACCACCUACCCUGGAAACGACAGGCCCUGGGCCAAGUGCUGGGAUAUAUGGCUGAGUCAUGAUUCCUGCUCUCAAUAAGUUCAAAGUCAAGAGAGACACAUUCUCAGCAAAAUAAUGACAAGAAAUGCCAGAAUAGAACCUGGACUGGAAGAAUGUGACAUUGGCCUGCAGAAUCAGGUGGCUGGGGUGGAGGCUGUGGACAGCAUAGAGUGGGGUGGGCGGAAAAGGGUUGGUGCAAGGCAGUGAGUCUGGAGGGGUGAGUGCAGCCAGUGGUGAAAAGCCUCAAGUGCUGUGCCAAGGAUGUGUGCCUUCUCGUUGUGGCACCUGGAAGGAGACUGCGGGGUGCAGAAGGGCCAUGUACCAGGGAGUGGAUCGUGAUCUUUCCUCCUCCCUGGCUCCCAGCCUGCUGCCCGUAUGAAGGGCUUCUUCCUGUCCCGACACAAGACAGUGAAUUGGUCACCAGAACACAUAGCCCUCCUCCCGUUGCAAAGCUCUGUCAUCUCCUUUCUCUUACAUUGUCACAAGAAGCCUUAGAAGUGGAGCAGGCCGGGCGUGGUGGCUCAUGUCUGUAAUCGCAGCACUUUGGGAGGCCGAGGCAGGUGGAUCACCUGAGGUCAGGAGUUUGAGACUAGCCUGGCCGACAUGGUGAAACCCUGGCUCUACUAACAAUACAAAAUUAGCUGGGCGUGGUGGCAGGCACCUGUAAUUCCAGCUACUCAGGAGGUUGAGGCAGGAGAAUCGCUUGAACCUGGGAGGCGGAGGUUGCAGUGAGCCGAGAUCGUGCUAUUGCACUCCAGCCUGGGAGACAGAGUGAGACUCUGUCUCAAAAAAAAAAAAAAAAAGAGCAGAGAGGGCUGCCCUUCCCUCACUUUACAAAGAGGCAGGGACAGCUCCAGCAUCCUGCCACCUGCAAGUGGCAGAGGUAAAGGGGAGGGAUUUCACACCUUGGUCGGGUGUGCGGAGAGAGGAGGCUGAGAGAAGUUCCUCUGAGGCGGGUCUGAGCUCCAUGCGAUGCCUCUUCCUGCUAGCAAAGGCUCCUUCUCACCUCUUGCAGCCCCAGGGGGUUGCUGGCAAUCUUGGCGCUCCUUGGCUUGCAGCCGCGUCACUCCGAUCUGUGCCUGCGUUGUCCCAUGGAGUUCUCCCUGUGUACAUGUGUCUCUGUGUCUUUGGCUUUUUCCUCUUUGUGUGUCUGUGUCCAGAUUUCCUUGUCUUAUGAAGACACCAGUCACUGGAUUAAGGCCUGACUAAAUCAGCGUUGCCUCAUCUUUCCUUGAUUACAUCUGCAAAGAGCCUGUUUGCAAAUAGCACAAACAGAGGUACCCGAGGUUAGGACUUCAACAGAUCUUUCAGGGGAACCCAAUGCAACCUAAACAGACAGUUUUGCCUCUUCAGCUCACACCUGAGCCAGCCUGGGGCCAUGGAAAAGACCCAGAGCUGAUGCCAGACCCUGCAGCUCUAACCUCCAGCAAAUCUACAAAUCCCACUUAUCUCUAAUUUAUUAGCCUUUGCAUGGAUCUAAUGCCCUUCAGUGCAGAGCCCUACAAACACACACUGUUUUCCUACUGACUCCUAGCCAGGUAUGUGGUGGGGGAGCUGGGCCAGCUGGCAGAGAGCAUCACCCAUUGCCAGGGAGGCAGGCAGGGAUGUGGCCAAAUUUUCUUCCUGGGCAUCUCCUCCUAGCCACAGGUGCUCCUUGGCAACCAGGCAGUGAGGCAAGCUGGUUCUGCAGGCAGCCUGGGCCCACCUGGAGCCCAUCUCCCGCCCUGGCCUUCCGGCCUUCUCACGCGGCUGCAUCAUUUUGAACAGCUUUGAAAGUGAUGGCCUGGGGUGGUAGUGAUAGGGGCGCUUCGAUUCUAUUAUUUUCAACAACUGUGGCCAGUUGGCUUUCUCUGUGCAUUACAAAUUCCUACCUGUCCUACAAGGCUGUAUUAGCUCACUAGAGCUGUUGCAACAAAGUACUACAAACUGGGUGUUUAAAUGACAGAAAUGUAACAUCUCACAGUUCUGGAGGCUGGAAGUCUGAAAUCCAGGUGUCAGUAGGGUUCUUUUUUGUUUUUCUGAGAUGGAGUCUCGCUCUGUCACCCAGGCUGGAGUGCAAUGGCACGAUCUUGGCUCACUGCAACCUCCACCUCCCAGGUUCAAGCGAUUCUCUUGCCUCAGCCUCCCGAGUAACUGGGACUACAGGUGCACGCCACUACACCUGACUAAUUUUUGUAUUUUUCUGUAGAGAUGAGGUUUCACCAUGUUGGCCAGGCUGGUCUUGAACUCUUGAUCUCAGGUGAUCCGCCUGCCUUAACCUCCCAAAGUACUGGGAUUACAGGCGUGAGCCACUGUGCCUGGCCUGCUUCUUUUGGAGGUUCCUUCCUUCCUCCUUUUUGCUGGGAGGGAGAAUUUGUUCGAGGCCUCUCCCUGGCUGCUGGUGCUUUGCUGGCAAUCUUUGGCGUUCCUUGGCUUAUAGCCGCAUCAGCCAGGUCUCUGCCUUCAUCUUCUUGUGUGUCUGUCUUCAAAUUUCUGCUUUUUAUAAGGACACGAGUUGUAUCAGAUUGGGGUCCACCCUCUUCCACUGUGACCUCAUCUUAACGAAUUACCUCUGUUAUGCUUCUGCUUCCAAAUAAGGCCACAUGCUUAGGUACUACAGGUUAGGAUUUGAACAUCUGAAUUUUGGGGUGGACUCAAUUUAGCUCAUAACAGAGGCCCAUCAGAAAUCUCGCCUCCUCCAGGAAGCCUUCUGCACUCAAAACCAGGCAAUCCCCCUUUCUGGAACUCCCAUAGCACAUAAUGUCUGAGGAACUCAGUGGCCCAGGGCCACUUGGGUAUUUAUAUUCUGUCUCUCUGAGGCUGGACUUAACUCUGGGUCGAUGGCAUUUAUAGUUUUUGAAAACAAGUGCAGCACAGCGGAAGCCCUUUUAUCUGAUGUUAUUAGGACUGGUAGUUGGGUAGUAAACUGAAAAUCCAAAAGGAAUGCCAGAAAGCAGCAUGGCUCAACAUGCGGUAGGCGGAAGAUUGAUGCAGGAGUAGAGAGCAAAGGUUAACCACUGUGUUAGUGAAAUCGACGUUGGCUGGGAGAGAUUCUCCUGCACAAAAACAAACAGCAGCCACCAAAGCCCAAGAUGGAUGAAAUCUGGAUGCGAAGUUAUCCAGCUUCCCAUUGAGAGUGGAUUUCCUUUUAAAGAAACCAUCAAUACUCUGUGUCAUUUAAGACUCCUAUCUGGUUUGGGUGUCAAGGGAAGUGGCCAUACAAGCUGUUUGGGACUUUAAAAGUGGAAUGGAAUCCAGGACACAGUGAGGGUCCCCUACAGAACCUGAAUGAUUUUGUUUUUGUUUUUUGAGAUGGAGUCUUGCUCUGUUGCCCAGGCUGGAGUGCAGUGGCACGAUCUUGGCCCACUGCAACCUCCGCCUCCCGGGUUCAAGCGAUUCUCCUGCCUCAGCCUCCCGAAUAGCUGGGAUUACAUGUGUGUGCCACCAUGUCUGGCUAAUUUUUGUAUUUUUAGUAGAGACUGGGUUUCACCAUGUUGGCCAAGCUGGUCUCAAACUCCUGACCUCAGGUGAUCUGCCCGCCUUGGCCUCCCAAAGUACUGGGAUUACAGGUGUGAGCCACUGCACCUGGCUGGGAACCUGAAUAAUUUUGGAAAAUAAAGUUGUCUUUUGAGAGUUAAACUAUAAAACAAACAUAAUAGGCCCAAAGCAGGGAGUGGCAAAGACUUUGUUUCACCUGCUUCACAGUGUCAACAUAGCCCCAAAAGAUUGGCCAUCAGAACUGUGUGUGUGUGUGUGUGUGCAAGUGUGUGUGAAUGUAUGUAUGUGUGUUGUGUAUGGCAGUGUAUGCAUGUGAGUGUGAGUGUGAGCAUGUCUGUGGGCAUGUGGGCUUGUGUAAUGUGUAUGAUCAUGUGCAUGUGUGUGUGAGUGGGUGUGGAUGUGUGGACAGCCAGGGAGGCCAAGGAGAGGGAGAGCAUACUGCCUUUGCCUAGAAAGGUGUAGCAAAGCCAGGCAGUGUGUCCCUGGCUUUCCCCAGGGGAAGAGGGGGACACUGGGCCAGAAACUUGAGCUCCUGGCCUCUGCUGAAUCUCUGUGCAUUCAAGGGGAGAUAUGUGCAUGAAGUCAUUGCAGUGUGACGCCUCUGUACUCAUCAGAUCACCCACGUCAUCUAAUGCACUCCCAUCACAUUCCAGACUCAGUGCUGCCAUCAGCUCCCUAGGAGCUCUCCCUCCAGGAAGGGAAUGUGUCCACCGUCAGACACUCAGACCCAGCAUGUGGGGACAGAGGCUGAUGGCCUGUCUGGCCAUUCCUCUCAGUUCCUCUCCUCACUAGCUUGUGUCCUUGUGCAAGUCACUUACCCUCUCUGAGGUUCAGUUCCCUCCUCUUUGAAGUGGGUUUAAUAAUAGUACCUGCCACAUAGGUUGUGAAGAUUGAUGAGAUUAACCAUAUAAUGUGCUUAGCACAAUGCCUAAUGUAUGGCAAGCCUUCCAAAAGUAUACGCUACCAUCAUAAUGAUCAAUAUGAUAAUAAAUCAAAACAUCCGUAUUGUUUUUCAUAUGUG
rnacentral:lncRNA from 1 species